CACGCCGUAAACGAUGAUCACUCGCUGUUGGCUAUACACAGUCAGCGGCUAAGCAAAAGCAUUAAGUGAUCCACCUGGGGAGUACGGCCGCAAGGCUGAAACUCAAAGGAAUUGACGGGGGCCCGCACAAGCGGAGGAACAUGUGGUUUAAUUCGAUGAUACGCGAGGAACCUUACCUGGGCUUAAAUGUAGACUGCAUCUCCGGGAAAUCGGAGUUUCCUUCGGGACUGUCUGCAAGGUGCUGCAUGGUUGUCGUCAGCUCGUGCCGUGAGGUGUCGGGUUAAGUCCCAUAACGAGCGCAACCCUUAUCGUUAGUUGCCAGCGGGGUAAUGCCGGGGACUCUAACGAAACUGCCGGUGUAAACCGA
rnacentral:rRNA from 1 species